CUACGUGCCAGCAGCCGCGGUAAUACGGAAGGUCCAGGCGUUAUUCGGAUUUAUUGGGUUUAAAGGGAGCGUAGGCGGAUUGUUAAGUCAGCGGUUAAAGGGUGUGGCUCAACCAUGCAUUGCCGUUGAAACUGGCGAUCUUGAGUGCAGACAGGGAUGCCGGAAUUCGUGGUGUAGCGGUGAAAUGCUUAGAUAUCACGAAGAACUCCGAUCGCGAAGGCAGGUGUCCGGGCUGCAACUGACGCUGAGGCUCGAAAGUGUGGGUAUCAAACAGGAUUAGAUACCCUGGUAGUCCACACAGUAAACGAUGUAUACUCGCGGUUUGCGAUAGACAGUAAGCCGCCAAGCGAAAGCAUUAAGUAUACCACCUGGGGAGUACGCCGGCAACGGUGAAACUCAAAGGAAUUGACGGGGGCCCGCACAAGCGGAGGAACAUGUGGUUUAAUUCGAUGAUACGCGAGGAACCUUACCCGGGCUUGAA
rnacentral:rRNA from 1 species